AUGAGCUAACCAAUCAUAUUCAAAAUGAUGCCGUAUAGUCCAUGUUAUUUGCAGAUGAUAGUCUUAAUGGAUGAAACUAGUAAAAUAGUUAAUUAAAAGUUGGAGUUGGAGAGGACUCUUGAGAGCGCGAGUUUUAAAUUAAGUAAGGCGGAGUAUAUCCAGUGUGAGUUUAGCUCUUGUAGAAGGAAUGGAGGUGAGGUUCAUUGGGAUGGAGUUUUGGUGCCUAAAUGCAAUCAACUCAAGUAUCUAGGUUCUAUCAUAGAAAAGAAUAAAGAUUUAAAAGAGGAUGUAACUCAUGGAAUCAGUACAUGACGGAUAAAAUGGAGAAGUGUGAUGAAUGUAUUUUGCGAAGGGAGAUCCUUAACAAAAUGAAAGGAAACUUCUAAAGGACUAUGGUUAGACUAGCUAUGUUGUAUGGGA
rnacentral:misc_RNA from 1 species